rnacentral:rRNA from 1 species
AAAGGAAUUGACGGGGCCCGCACAAGCGGUGGAGUAUGUGGUUUAAUUCGAUGCAACGCGAAGAACCUUACCUGGGUUGGAAACCCCUGGAAUCCUGCAGAGAUGUGGGAGUGCUCUUUUAGAGAAUCAGGUGUCCAGGUGCUGCAUGGUUGUCGUCAGCUCGUGUCGUGAGAUGUUGGGUUAAGUCCCGCAACGAGCGCAACCCUUAUCAUUAGUUGCUACGCAAGGGCACUCUAAUGAGACUGCCGGUGACAAACCGGAGGAAGGUGGGGAUGACGUCAAGUCCUCAUGGCCCUUAUGGGUAGGGCUUCACACGUCAUACAAUGGUCGGUACAGAGGGUUGCCAAGCCGCGAGGCGGAGCCAAUCCCACAAAGCCGAUCGUAGUCCGGAUUGUUCUCUGCAACUCGAGAGCAUGAAGUCGGAAUCGCUAGUAAUCGCAGGUCAGCAUACUGCGGUGAAUACGUUCCCGGGUCUU